AAGCCAGCUGUACAGGGUUUGUACCUCCUACUACUGUCUAUAUUUCACACAGUUCCCAGCCAACCAAAUGCUUUCUAACUAACUGUUUUCAGGGCAGCCUCACGCUGUCCUGCCCACUCCAGCAUCAUGCAUUUCUUCCUUCCUCAGUGUUUCCUCCUCGCUCAUCAGAGCUACUAGGUCAGUGCUUCCACCACAGGCAGAUUAGUUGAAGAAUAUAAGACUUUCCCCAUGUUUCCCUGUUGGUUUCUUAUGGCCUUCCUGGCCCCAAUAGGCUGGGCUCUUCAGCAAACCCCAGACACACUUGUCCGACUGGGAGACUCUCUGACUCUGAACUGUUCUCACAAGGAGAGUGGAGCCUGGACUAUGUACUGGUACAAGCAGGCAGUGGGGAAGAACACCACUAUGCAGCUGAUUGUACGUUCAGUGGAAGGUACCAAGGCAGACUUUGAGGAAGAAUUCAAAAGCCGCUUCCAGAGUAGUGGGACUAAGGAGAACUCCUUAUCAGUGACGAUAGAUCGUGUCCUACUCAGUGACUCAGGCACUUAUUUCUGCGCUAAGCAAGAUACACUGUGACACGAAGGCUGGAGCAGCAUAGCACAAACCUCCCUCCACAGAAGUGGAGACCUGCCCCCAGAACACACAGUCCAUCGUGUACCAGUAAAACUAUUUUUCCACUUCUGACAUUCAGCUCUGUCCACUUAAUAAAAGUAGUAGUUUCCUUUCUGUCUUCUGCUUGUUCUCUGCUUUUCUUUUUUUUUUUUUUUCCUUUUCCGUCUCUGAAGAAUUGUUGAUCCUACUUUUGAUACAAAUUAUAAUGAUAUUGUUAAACCUGUUAGCAUUCACUGAAUAGUAGACCUGCAGUUUGUUUGGAUAAUGGGAAGAGUUGUGUCUUUGCACCGAGUAGAUAAGGAGAGUUCUGUUAAGUCUUUGUACUGUGGGAGACAGUGUCAAAGGUUUA